rnacentral:tRNA from 1 species
UCUCAGUCGGUAAAGAAUCUGCUUGCAAUGCAGGAGACCCGGGUUCGAUUCCUGG